UACAGAGGGUGCAAGCGUUAAUCGGAAUUACUGGGCGUAAAGCGCGCGUAGGCGGUUAUUUAAGUCGGGUGUGAAAGCCCCGGGCUCAACCUGGGAAUUGCAUCCGAUACUGAGUAACUAGAGUAUGAGAGAGGGAGGUAGAAUUCCACGUGUAGCGGUGAAAUGCGUAGAUAUGUGGAGGAAUACCGGUGGCGAAGGCGGCCUCCUGGCUUAAUACUGACGCUGAGGUGCGAAAAGCGUGGGGGAGCGAACAGG
rnacentral:rRNA from 1 species